UCUCUCUGGUUCUUCGAGUUCUUCCUUCUUUGAGUCUGUAAAAUCAUUCUUUAAUGUAUAGUUUCUGCGAUCUGUAAUGGAGUUUAUAUUUUGGGUUAAUGAUCAGGCCUGAAAGAGUGGCUGAUCUUGUACUGUAAAACUCCUAUACGUUUGGUUGAUUUCGUGUGUGUGUGUUUCACGAGAUCUGUAGAUCGGUGACUGAAACUGUGAUUUCUGAGUGAUUCUUGAUGUACUCUUGCUCUCUUGGAAGGUCGAUUGUGCCAUAGUGGAACGGGCUGUCCCUG
rnacentral:lncRNA from 1 species